CAAAGAGGCGGCCACUGCGCGUUAGGCUGAGACGCUGAAAGUCCGGAUUUAAAGUGCAGAAAAUUAAGCCAUUGAAUCUGCCUGUCCAUGACGUAGUAAGACGCACUAUGAGCCAGUUUGAUCCAACAAGACCUUACAUCAGCAUUGAGGAGUUCAGGAGUUGUCGGAGAAGAAAGAGGCUGAUUGAAGCGGGACAGAUGACAUGGAUCCAUCCUUCCACAGCCAGGAGUGCACCGACCUGUGUCCCACACUUCAUAUAAGACUGGAAGCUACACUGAUCUCACAGCUACACACCACAGACGUCUACACACUGGAGAAGAUUCAGACAGAGUCCCACAAAGAAGUCGUGACCCAGAGGCUGCAGAG